ensembl:misc_RNA Metazoa_SRP Metazoan signal recognition particle RNA
GCUGGGCAUACUGGCGUAUGCCUGUAAUCCCAGCUACUCGGGAGGCUGAGGCAGGAGAAUUGCUUGAGCCCAGGAGGUGGAGGUUGCAGUAAGCCGAGAUCAUGGCACUGCACUCCAGUCUGAGCAACAGAGCGAGACUCUGUCUCAU